GACGUUGGAUGAUACAGUAAU
rnacentral:misc_RNA from 1 species